rnacentral:rRNA from 1 species
CAGCAGUCGCCACGGUAAAACGUAGGGAGCAAGCGUUGUUCGGAUUUACUGGGCGUAAAGGGCGCGUAGGCGGCGCGGUAAGUCACUUGUGAAAUCUCUGAGCUUAACUCAGAACGGCCAAGUGAUACUGCUGUGCUAGAGUGCGGAAGAGGCAACCGGAAUUCUUGGUGUAGCGGUGAAAUGCGUAGAUAUCAAGAGGAACACCUGAGGCGAAGGCGGGUUGCUGGGCCGACACUGACGCUGAUGCGCGAAAGCCAGGGGAGCAAACGGGAUUAGAUACCCCGGUAGUCCCUGUCUCUUAUAC